GUACACUCCUACGGGAGGCAGCAGUGGGGAAUUUUGGACAAUGGGCGCAAGCCUGAUCCAGCCAUGCCGCGUGCGGGAAGAAGGCCUUCGGGUUGUAAACCGCUUUUGUCAGGGAAGAAAAGGUUCUGGCUAAUACCUGGGACUCAUGACGGUACCUGAAGAAUAAGCACCGGCUAACUACGUGCCAGCAGCCGCGGUAAUACGUAGGGUGCAAGCGUUAAUCGGAAUUACUGGGCGUAAAGCGUGCGCAGGCGGUUAUGCAAGACAGAGGUGAAAUCCCCGGGCUCAACCUGGGAACUGCCUUUGUGACUGCAUGGCUAGAGUACGGUAGAGGGGGAUGGAAUUCCGCGUGUAGCAGUGAAAUGCGUAGAUAUGCGGAGGAACACCGAUGGCGAAGGCAAUCCCCUGGACCUGUACUGACGCUCAUGCACGAAAGCGUGGGGAGCAAACAGGAUUAGAUACCCGGGUAGUCCCA
rnacentral:rRNA from 1 species